CAGGCCUGACACAUGCAAGUCGAACGAGACCUUCGGGUCUAGUGGCGCACGGGUGCGUAACGCGUGGGAAUCUGCCCUUUGGUACGGAAUAACUCGGGGAAACUCGUGCUAAUACCGUAUGAUGUCGCAAGACCAAAGAUUUAUCGCCAAGGGAUGAGCCUGCGUAGGAUUAGCUAGUUGGUGAGGUAAUGGCUCACCAAGGCGACGAUCGGUAGCUGGUCUGAGAGGAUGAUCAGCCACACUGGGACUGAGACACGGCCCAGACUCCUACGGGAGGCAGCAGUGGGGAAUAUUGGACAAUGGGCGAAAGCCUGAUCCAGCCAUGCCGCGUGAGUGAUGAAGGCCCUAGGGUUGUAAAGCUCUUUCGUCAGGGACGAUAAUGACGGUACGUGAAGAAGAAGCCCCGGCUAACUUCGUGCCAGCAGCCGCGGUAAU
rnacentral:rRNA from 1 species